rnacentral:lncRNA from 1 species
UGUUAUUCACGUAAAGGACAUUUCUGUUUGGUUGAGUCGCCCAGUGUCCCAGGGGGAAGGUGGAUCCCUGGCAGCUGACGGUGCGCCGCUGUCAGAGAGAGACCAGAGACAGACGGAGCGAGCAGAGAAGCUGCUGCGCCUUCAGAAAAUGGCCGACAGAUUUCUAGGUUUAACGAAGAGCGUGAUUUCCAGGGGGGAAAUCACUUUGACCAGUAUGAAGAGGGCCAGUUGGAGCUGGAGCAGGCGUCCUUGGACAAGCCCAUCGAAUCGCGAAUUGGCCCCCUAUUAG